AUUGAACGCUGGCGGCAGGCUUAACACAUGCAAGUCGAGCGGGGUGAUGGUGCUUGCACUAUCACUUAGCGGCGGACGGGUGAGUAAUGCUUAGGAAUCUGCCUAUUAGUGGGGGACAACAUCUCGAAAGGGAUGCUAAUACCGCAUACGUCCUACGGGAGAAAGCAGGGGAUCACUUGUGACCUUGCGCUAAUAGAUGAGCCUAAGUCGGAUUAGCUAGUUGGUGGGGUAAAGGCCUACCGAGGCGACGAUCUGUAGCGGGUCUGAGAGGAUGAUCCGCCACACUGGGACUGAGACACGGCCCAGACUCCUACGGGAGGCAGCAGUGGGGAAUAUUGGACAAUGGGGGGAACCCUGAUCCAGCCAUGCCGCGUGUGUGAAGAAGGCCUUAUGGUUGUAAAGUACUUUAAGCGAGGAGGAGGCUACUUAGAUUAAUACUCUAGGAUAGUGGACGUUACUCGCAGAAUAAGCACCGGCUAACUCUGUGCCAGCCGCCGCAGUAA
rnacentral:rRNA from 1 species